UCGAGCGACAAAAGCACGUUGAAUGUACGAGUUCCCAAUGGUUCACUGAAACUAAGUAACGUUGCACGUGGUUGUUAUCCGAAUAGGAGACCAUCUGAGUAAUGGCGUGCUGCUGGAA
rfam:Asian citrus Psyllid, Diaphorina citri - Florida Strain, whole genome shotgun sequence.